GUCGCAGCCCGGUCCUCCAGACAGAUAAGGCCCCAUGUUGCUCAGGUUUGUCUUCAGUUCGUUUGCAGCUAAGGAUGACCUUCAACUCCUGGAGAUCCUCCAAACAUCACAGGCCUUCACCACCACACUUGGUUACCUAUGGUAAUUAUUUUAAUCUUCACCUAAGUGCUGUGAGUUAGGUGCCCUUUGUAUUGCCCUCACUCUGCAAUAAUGAAAUUGAAGCACAGAAUUCAAAAACACACAGGCAGCUCAUGGGUGAGGUUGAGAUCUGGAUCCAGGUAGCCUGAUAACAACACCUUGUUAAUAAACACACUGU
rnacentral:lncRNA from 1 species